rnacentral:rRNA from 1 species
GGGAGGGGGGGCAAGCGUUAUUCGGAAUUAUUGGGCGUAAAGGGCGCGUAGGCGGGCUUGGGUAGGUCAAAGGGUGAAAUCCCUCAGCUCAACUGAGGAACUGCCUUUGAAACCACCUGGCUAGAGGCUGGGAGGGGGUAGCGGAAUUCCAGGUGUAGCGGUGAAAUGCGUAGAUAUCUGGAGGAACACCGGUGGCGAAGGCGGCUACCUGGACCAGUUCUGACGCUGAGGCGCGAAAGCGUGGGGAGCAAACAGGAUUAGAUACCCUGGUAGUCCACGCUGUAAACGAUGGGCACUCGGUGCCGCGGGUGUUGACCCCUGCGGUGCCUUAGCUAACGCGUUAAGUGCCCCGCCUGGGGAGUACGGUCGCAAAGGCUG